rnacentral:rRNA from 1 species
GACGAACGCUGGCGGCGUGCCUAAUACAUGCAAGUCGAACGCUUCCUACCGGUGCUUGCACCGGGAAAGAAGAGUGGCGGACGGGUGAGUAACACGUGGGUAACCUACCUACGAGCGGGGGAUAACAUUCGGAAACGGAUGCUAAUACCGCAUAGAUCUUUUUGUCUCCUGGCAGAAAGAAGAAAGACGGUUUCGGCUGUCACUUGUAGAUGGACCCGCGGCGCAUUAGUUAGUUGGUGAGGUAAUGGCUCACCAAGACGAUGAUGCGUAGCCGACCUGAGAGGGUGAUCGGCCACACUGGGACUGAGACACGGCCCGGACUCCUACGGGAGGCAGCAGUAGGGAAUCUUCCGCAAUGGACGAAAGUCUGACGGAGCAACGCCGCGUGAGUGAAGAAGGUUUUCGGAUCGUAAAACUCUGUUGUUAGAGAAGAACAAGGAUGAGAGUAACUGCUCGUCCCUUGACGGUAUCUAACCAGAAAGCCAUGGCUAACUACGUGCCAGCAGCCGCAGUAA